UACGGGAGGCAGCAGUGGGGAAUAUUGCACAAUGGGCGCAAGCCUGAUGCAGCCAUGCCGCGUGUAUGAAGAAGGCCUUCGGGUUGUAAAGUACUUUCAGUCGUGAGGAAGGUGUUAAGGUUAAUAACCUUAGCAAUUGACGUUAGCGACAGAAGAAGCACCGGCUAACUCCGUGCCAGCAGCCGCGGUAAUACGGAAGGUGCGAGCGUUAAUCGGAAUUACUGGGCGUAAAGGGCACGCAGGCGGUUAAUUAAGUUGGAUGUGAAAUCCCCGGGCUUAACCUGGGAAUGGCAUUCAAGACUGGUUAGCUAGAGUCUUGUAGAGGGGGUAGAAUUCCAUGUGUAGCGGUGAAAUGCGUAGAGAUGUGGAGGAAUACCGGUGGCGAAGGCGGCCCCUGGACAAAGACUGACGCUCAUGUGCGAAAGCGUGGGGAGCGAAACAGGGAUUAGAUACC
rnacentral:rRNA from 1 species